UGGGGAAUAUUGGACAAUGGGCGAAAGCCUGAUCCAGCCAUGCCGCGUGUGUGAAGAAGGUCUUCGGAUUGUAAAGCACUUUAAGUUGGGAGGAGGGUACUGGUAUUAAUACUACCAGGUACUGGACGUUACUCGCAGAAUAAGCACCGGCUAACUCUGUGCCAGCAGCCGCGGUAAUACAGAGGGUGCGAGCGUUAAUCGGAUUUACUGGGCGUAAAGCGUGCGUAGGCGGCUAAUUGAGUCGGAUGUGAAAUCCCCGAGCUUAACUUGGGAAUUGCAUUCGAUACUGGUUAGCUAGAGUGUGGGAGAGGAUGGUAGAAUUCCAGGUGUAGCGGUGAAAUGCGUAGAGAUCUGGAGGAAUACCGAUGGCGAAGGCAGCCAUCUGGCCUAACACUGACGCUGAGGUACGAAAGCAUGGGGAGCAAACAGG
rnacentral:rRNA from 1 species